AUACCUGAUUGANUCUGUCAGCGCUAUAUGCUCAGUUUAAAGAUUAAVCCAUGCAUGUCUAAG
rnacentral:rRNA from 1 species